UCAACAGAUUGCUUUCUCUCAGCACAACAGCAUCAUGGACCUGGUGCAGUUCUUUGUUACCUUCUUCAGCUGUUUCCUGUCUCUGUUACUGGUCGCUGCUGUGGUCUGGAAAGUCAAACAGACGUGCUGGGCCUCACGACGUAGAGAGUGUUUGGGGUUUGAGUCAUCAGGGAAGAAUCAGUAAUUGGGUAUGAGCAGCGAUGAUAAUAGUCUGUUUUUAUUGGUGUAAUCCACACACACACACACACACACACACAGGGAGCUAUUGUGCAUAAAUACACUUGCUGGUUUCCGGCCCCCCUCCUGCCUCUGCCUUUCUGCCAUUAUGCAGAAAACGCUGAUGAUUUCAUGUGCAUGUGUUUAAAUGUUGGUGUCAUGUUACUUUUAUGGUCAUUCAAAAAUAAAAAAUUUUUGUAAU